CCUACGGGAGGCAGCAGUGGGGAAUAUUGCACAAUGGGCGCAAGCCUGAUGCAGCAACGCCGCGUGAGGGACGACGGCCUUCGGGUUGUAAACCUCUUUUAGUAGGGAAGAAGCGAAAGUGACGGUACCUGCAGAAAAAGCACCGGCUAACUACGUGCCAGCAGCCGCGGUAAUACGUAGGGUGCAAGCGUUAUCCGGAAUUAUUGGGCGUAAAGAGCUCGUAGGCGGUUUGUCGCGUCUGCUGUGAAAACUGGAGGCUCAACCUCCAGCCUGCAGUGGGUACGGGCAAACUAGAGUGCGGUAGGGGAGAUUGGAAUUCCUGGUGUAGCGGUGGAAUGCGCAGAUAUCAGGAGGAACACCGAUGGCGAAGGCAGAUCUCUGGGCCGUAACUGACGCUGAGGAGCGAAAGCAUGGGGAGCGAACAGGAUUAGAUACCCUGGUAGUCCAUGCCGUAAACGUUGGGCGCUAGAUGUGGGGACCAUUCCAGGUUUCCGUGUCGCNGCUACGCAUAGCGCCCGCCGUCGGGAGGACGGCCGCGACGGACGUAAACUUAAAUAGAAGUAGACGGCGUGAGACGUCGCCGACGGACGACGACGAGGGAGGAGG
rnacentral:rRNA from 1 species